AGCAAAUAUUGUCCACUUAGGCACAUUACGUAUCGUCGCCUCACAGUUAUAAAACACAUCUGAUAGGGAGAGUUUUCCACACUCUUAUAAAGAAUGUUUCAUUCCCCUCUCCAACCAAUGGGGGAUCUCACAAUCCACCCCCCUUAUGGGCCCAACGUCCACGCUAGCACACCACUCAGUGUCUAGUUCUGACACCAUUUGUAACAGCUCAAACCCACCACUAGCAAAUAUUGUCCACUUAGGCACAUUACGUAUCGUCAUCAACCUCACACUUAUAAAACGCAUCUGAUAGGAAGAGAUUUCCACACCCUUAUAAAAGAAUGUUUCGUUCCUCUCUCCAACUGACGUAGAAUCUCACACAUGAGCAUCCAACAAGACAUCGUCCCCACUUACACUUGCCUCUCCCUCAUAAUGCAUCCUCACCCCAUUUAUCAGAAGACACUGAUAGAAACUUCCCACCAAAUUCUGAAAGCAACAUCACCUAAUGCUUGCCUUACUCCAAAACAACACAUUAACAAUGCCUUUUUCUUUACACUUUCCUAUGUACAAAACGUCUAGAACUCACAAAUUUAACACCAAAUUACACGUAAAACCUUGAAACAUAACAAUCAAACAAACACAGAAACCUGAAUCAUUAUGAGCAGGAAAUGGAUUCAACCAG